AGUCGUAACAAGGUUUCCGUAGGUGAACCUGCGGAAGGAUCAUUACCUAGAGUUUGUAGACUUCGGUCUGCUACCUCUUACCCAUGUCUUUUGAGUACCUUCGUUUCCUCGGCGGGUCCGCCCGCCGAUUGGACAACAUUCAAACCCUUUGCAGUUGCAAUCAGCGUCUGAAAAAACAUAAUAGUUACAACUUUCAACAACGGAUCUCUUGGUUCUGGCAUCGAUGAAGAACGCAGCGAAAUGCGAUAAGUAGUGUGAAUUGCAGAAUUCAGUGAAUCAUCGAAUCUUUGAACGCACAUUGCGCCCCUUGGUAUUCCAUGGGGCAUGCCUGUUCGAGCGUCAUUUGUACCUUCAAGCUCUGCUUGGUGUUGGGUGUUUGUCUCGCCUCUGCGUGUAGACUCGCCUUAAAACAAUUGGCAGCCGGCGUAUUGAUUUCGGAGCGCAGUACAUCUCGCGCUUUGCACUCACAACGACGACGUCCAAAAGUACAUUUUUACACUCUUGACCUCGGAUCAGGUAGGGAUACCCGCUGAACUUAAGCAUAUCAAUAAGCGGAGGAA
rnacentral:misc_RNA from 1 species